rnacentral:rRNA from 1 species
UCCUUAGAUGUUCUGGGCCGCACGCGCGCUACACUGAUCGGUGCAACAAGCAUCCGUCCUUGGCCGACAGGCCCGGGCAAUCUUUGAACGCCGGUCGUGAUGGGGAUAGACCUUUGCAAUUUUUGGUCUUCAACGAGGAAUUCCUAGUAAACGCAAGUCAUCAACUUGCAUUGAUUACGUCCCUGCCCUUUGUACACACCGCCCGUCGCACCUACCGAUUGAAUGGUCCGGUGAAACCUCCGGAUUGGCGCGUGCCCUCGGGCGCCGCCGAGAAGUUGGUUAAACCUUACCAUUUAGAGGAAGGUGAAGUCGUAACA